rnacentral:rRNA from 1 species
GAGUUUGAUCCUGGCUCAGAACGAACGCUGGCGGCAGGCCUAACACAUGCAAGUCGAACGCUGUAGCAAUACAGAGUGGCAGACGGGUGAGUAACACGUGGGAAUCUUCCUAUCGGUGCGGAAUAGCUCAGGGAAACUUGGGGUAAUACCGCAUACGCCCUCCGGGGGAAAGAUUUAUCGCCGAUAGAUGAGCCCGCGUCUGAUUAGCUAGUUGGUGAGGUAAUGGCUCACCAAGGCGACGAUCAGUAGCUGGUCUGAGAGGAUGAUCAGCCACACUGGGACUGAGACACGGCCCAGACUCCUACGGGAGGCAGCAGUGGGGAAUAUUGGACAAUGGGCGAAAGCCUGAUCCAGCCAUGCCGCGUGAGUGACGAAGGUCUUCGGAUUGUAAAGCUCUUUUGGCGGGGACGAUAAUGACGGUACCCGCAGAAUAAGCCCCGGCUAACUUCGUGCCAGCAGCCGCGGUAAUACGAAGGGGGCUAGCGUUGUUCGGAAUUACUGGGCGUAAAGCGCACGUAGGCGGAUUGUUAAGUCAGGGGUGAAAUCCCGGGGCUCAACCUCGGAACUGCCUUUGAUACUGGCAAUCUCGAGUCCGGAAGAGGUGAGUGGAAUUCCUAGUGUAGAGGUGAAAUUCGUAGAUAUUA